rnacentral:rRNA from 1 species
GGAUGCGAUCAUACCAGCACUAAAGCACCGGAUCCCAUCAAAACUCCGAAGUUAAGCAUGCUUGGGCGAGAGUAGUACUAGGAUGGGUGACCUCCUGGGAAGUCCUCGUGGUGCAUUCC